UAUUGACAAAUUCAUAGGCUUAGGUUCUUCUUUCUCUUUGUAUGAAUGCCUGCAUCUGCUGUGUUAUUUUGAUUGCUUAGGGAAUUUGACUUCUUAAGCUUGAUGUUGUAAUUGUUAAGAUUAUGCUUGUAGGCGUAAUUACUGCUUUUUAAGAUUUCCUCUAUUGCGUUUUCUAAAUUGUGAAUUUCUUCAGAUUUCAGUGGGUUCUCAUUUAUACCCUAAGAAUCCAGUCCUCCACCUUGGAAGUCAGCUCAACUUCAGUGUAGAAGGAUUAAAUGAUCAAGUGUUUGGCCUUUGGUUGAGUGCCAAUGAAAGUGUUAUAUAUGUGGACAUGAUGUCUGGAAAAGCUGAAGCCAUUGGGGAAGGUACUACUUGAGUGAUCUUUAAAAAUUCAAGUUUGAAACUACAAACAGCAGUUACAGUGUUGAAAGGGACUAUUGUGUUUAUUGAUGCUCCCAAAGAGAUGUUAACAAACGUUCCCAUCCCAGCAAAAGGAUAUAGCUUCCCUGUGAGGUUCAGUGAUGAUCAUUACCACAAGUCUGAAGCUCCUUAGAACGAUGUGCAGGUCCUGUAUGACUGUAGAGUGCACCUACCUUUUGUCGGAUAUGCAAAGCCAUAGAAGGAUCUCUCUGGAAAUUCAUAUUGCCUCUUCUUUCCUUACUCUCCGGAGCAUUUAGUACAUCUUAUUCCCAAGUCAAAAGACAUGAGAUUCGAGAUUUGAUAUGGACGUAUUUGGUAAUUUGGAGAGCAGAAGCUAGGUUAUUUUGUGUUUUUGUUCAUAUUACCUUACAUGUAUUUUGGUUGCGUUGUAAAUUUUUUAUUUUUGUUGGUAUUCCAAGACAUGUUUGGUAAUCCGCACUUGAUAUUAUAUUUUUGUUGAUAUUAGUAAACAUGUUUUUUGUGGAUAUUAGGAGACGUGUUUGGUAAUCUGCAUGCGGUUGAUAUUGUAUUUUUGUGGAUAUUAGUAGACAUGUUUUUUGUGGAUAUUAGAAGACGUGUUUGGUAAUCCGCGUGUAGUUC